CGUAAUUGUGUAGACGGAAGUGGCUUUCUUGCUGUCAUGGAAAACCAUAACAAUAAUUAUCAAGCAUUAUAUCCUAAACUGUUAUCGGAAGUGUCUGCUGAAGAUUCCAAUAUGUCAAAUUUGGAACGUAUCCUUCAUUAGCCUCAUAGCCACGAAUGCCUAGCUAGAAAGGCAUCACAGAGGUAGCACGAAUACAAACGAGUGCAAAUGGCUGUAAACACAAAUAAGGUCACCAAAUCUAUGGCAGAUGUUGUUAAGUCUAUGGAUGAUAACACUAAAGAGCUUGAACUUGGAAAAGAUCUCAGCUCUGAUGGACAGGUUUGAGCACCAAUUUGAAAUGCUGGAUAUGCAGACAGUGCAGAUGGAAGACACUAUGGGCAACACCACCACGUUGACACCACCCCAGGUACUGCAGCCCACCUGCGCACACGCAGACUACACCCCAGAAUGAAGUGGAGUCUCUAAUGCAUGAGAUGGCAGGUGAAGCUGGGUUGGAUUUGAACAUGGAACUACUUCAAGGACAGAUGGGUUCUGUUGUCACUAGUGUGGCACCACCGGAACAGGAUGAGCUUUCUCAGCGGAUGGCCAGACGGCGAGACCAAGUCUAGAGUAGUGAGUGGUCAGUGGAUGUGCAUGGAUGUAGUUAAUGAAAGGGUGAGUAUGUAGCUCCAGGCAUGCAGAAAGGGACUGACUUCUGAAAAGCAUUAAAACUGACUCUGUACAUGUGUCACUUUGCCUCAUGGUGGUGCUACUGAGCAGGAGCAUUCAUAUCAAUCCAUGGAGGGCACGAGUUGGAUUCUACUUGUCAUGUCUUUGCUCGGAAUAAGAAUGUAUAACUGUAUAUGGAAUACGCAAUGGAAAUUAUAUGUGUGCUUUACUACUGUGACACUGUUCUGACUAUUGUGAUAUUGAAAUCCAGACAAUUUUAUGAAAAGAUGGGCACAUUUUCCCUGAAUUAGAACAUUAUGAAGAUAAGCAACAACGUAAUGCACACCCCAAAGGGAAAGGGUUCAAUUGUCACAUUUUGGAGUGGCUGAACAUAGUAUUUUCAUUUUUGCAUGUUGCUGGAUGCUCAGAAUGCAGCUAUGCCACUUAUAGAAAUGGCAGCAGGGAAAAAAGAAGGGAAAUGAAACAUACCACAAAAAGCACCACAUAUUUCCUGCUGUAAUGAUAGCAGGCCUGUUCAAGUGGAUGAAUGGUCCAAUUUUCAUUACAAAAAUCUCAUGUAUGUGCACAGCCUUCCAAAAAGACUGAAGCAUUUCUGACACAAAAUGAAAAUGUCCACAUGUGUGUUAUUUUUCCCUAUUCCUUCAUUGUGCACUAUGAUACAUGUGGAAAACCAUUUAGAUUCUGUUUAUACACACCUUUAUUUUCAAGCAAAAGCAUUUGAUAUAACUAUUCUCUUGUGAUGUUGGUUUUGCAUGUUUGUGAUGUGUCUUAUGGAAAACUAAUGCGGACAUUUGUUAAAAUAACCAAAUAAAUAACUAUCAUUGUGUU